rnacentral:lncRNA from 1 species
AAAAAAUAAGUUUUUGGAGCGGGGAGUAUUCGGAUAGUCGUUUUUGAAUAAAAUGAAAUUGGUAAAAUGGUAGCUUACCUGGUUUAGAGCGCCGCGUCGCAUCGCAUGCUGCUACCGACGAUUGUAGCGACUGAUUCUAAACUGCCGGAUUAUUUCCAACGGAAACGGACGAUAUCUAGCCUGACAAUGGAAAUACACGAAAUUGGUACUUACGUAUUAACGCCAUCGCAGCUACAGAUUUGGUGGUUUUUUAAAAUUAAAAAGUAGUUAGUCGCAUGUACUCAAGCGGGUGGCUGUUCGUGAUUGGUAUUCACGACCCCGACUGUGCCCUACCUGGAGUACCUAUAUAUUUCAUGUCCGACGACCGAAGGGAGGAGGACGUUUGGCCUUGGGUCCGAGGGACGAGGACCGUGGCCGCAGGCCACCCGAGGCAAACAAACUCAAGUACCUUCCGAUUUAGGCGUAAAGUGAACGUUGAAACGUUAUUUGUAGUUUGUUUGCCUCUGGUGGCCCGCAGGGCCAACAAAAAAUUACCUGCAGGAAUCGA